rnacentral:rRNA from 1 species
AAUGAACGUUGGCAGCGUGGAUUAGGCAUGCAAGUCGAGCGACAAGGUCCUUCGGGACGUGGAGGAGCGGCAAACGGGGUAGGUAAUACAUCGGAACGUACCUCACGUCUGGGAUAGCCACGGGAAACUGUGGGUAAUACUGGAUAAUCUCACCACUUGUGAAGAGUGGUGAGCAAAGGUCCGCCGCGUGAGGAGCGGCCGAUGCGAUACUAGAUAGUUGGUGGGGGUAAUGGCCUACCAAGUCUAAGAUGUCUAGGGGGUGUGAGAGCAUGGCCCCCACCACUGGGACUGAGACACUGCCCAGACACCUACGGGUGGCUGCAGUCGAGAAUCUUUGGCAAUGGGCGC